rnacentral:rRNA from 2 species
AGCAAAAGAAACCAACAGGGAUUGCCCUAGUAACGGCGAGUGAAGCGGCAACAGCUCAAAUUUGAAAUCUGGCCCUCGCGGUCCGAGUUGUAAUUUGUAGAGGAUGCUUUUGGUUAGGUACCUUCCGAGUUCCCUGGAACGGGACGCCAGAGAGGGUGAGAGCCCCGUACGGUUGGAUACCGAGCCUCUAUAUAGCUCCUUCGACGAGUCGAGUAGUUUGGGAAUGCUGCUCUAAAUGGGAGGUAAAUUUCUUCUAAAGCUAAAUACCGGCCAGAGACCGAUAGCGCACAAGUAGAGUGAUCGAAAGAUGAAAAGUACUUUGAAAAGAGGGUUAAAUAGCACGUGAAAUUGUUGAAAGGGAAGCGUUUGCGACCAGACUUUUUCCGGGCGGAUCAUCCGGUGUUCUCACCGGUGCACUUCGCCCGGUUUAGGCCAGCAUCGGUUCUCCUAGGGGGAUAAAGGCGGGGGGAACGUGGCUCCUUCGGGAGUGUUAUAGCCCCCCGCGUAAUACCCCUCGGGGGACCGAGGAACGCGCAUCUGCAAGGAUGCUGGCGUAAUGGUCGCCAACGAC